GCCAGACUCCUACGGGAGGCAGCAGUGGGGGAUAUUGCACAAUGGGGGGAACCCUGAUGCAGCGACGCCGCGUGGGUGAAGAAGUAUUUCGGUAUGUAAAGCCCUAUCGGCAGGGAAGAAAUUGGACGGUACCUGACUAAGAAGCCCUGGCUAACUACGUGCCAGCAGCCGCGGUAAUACGUAGGGGGCAAGCGUUAUCCGGAUUCACUGGGUGUAAAGGGAGCGUAGACGGCCAUGCAAGCCUGGAGUGAAAGCCCGGGGCCCAACCCCGGGACUGCUCUGGGAACUGUGCGGCUGGAGUGCGGGAGGGGCAGGCGGAAUUCCUGGUGUAGCGGUGAAAUGCGUAGAUAUCAGGAGGAACACCGGCGGCGAAGGCGGCCUGCUGGACCGCGACUGACGUUGAGGCUCGAAAGCGUGGGGAGCAAACAGGAUUAGAUACCCCAGUACCA
rnacentral:rRNA from 1 species